CACACUUGUAUUGCAGGUUAGUUUCUCUAUCCUACAAAAUAUUGUGUCGUUUACUUUCCUAUAAUGUAUUUGUUACCUUGCUGAUUUUGGUAUGCCUAUUUUGUUGGGGUAUGCCCUACUUGUUUUAGUAUCGUUGUCUUAUUUUGCAGGACCAGUUAAGUUAACUAGUUAGAACUACAUCAACCAAGCAACAAUUAUGAUAAGGAGUCUAUGAUGUGGAGUUUGUCUCCUUUAUUUAGUGAGUCUGAACUGGUGUACAAACUGCUGCAACAUCCUAGUUCCGAUAAGACUUAGCCUGUCUAUGGGUAGACCAGCUCCAUAAAAUGAGCUGACUGAUGAAUUCGAAAUUCUUGAGGCUGGGAUUUGGAAUGCAGUUUCUCUAAACAAUGGAUAAAGGGCAAAAAACGAUAGCAAGACUUGUCACAUAUGAUGAUGUGAACAAGAGGUUGCAGGGACUUCAUUUAUCUACUCCAGUAAUAUCAGGCAGCCUCAUUACUGUAGAUUGGAAAAGGAAAAACCAUGUCACUCUGGUAUCAUGCUUCGGUAUGCAAAUCAUCAUGUGGCUUCCGUAUCUUUGUCCUGGAUGCAGGUUAAAUGCUAAGCCAUCAUAUGCAAAUCCAGCCAUUACGCAUCUAGAGCUUGGCGUGGUUUAUAUUUUUGUCUGUCUGCGCAGACUAGAGUGGCAGUCUGGUUAUAUGAAUGUUGGAUUUUCUAUAUUUUUGUCGAUAGGCACAUAG